rnacentral:tRNA from 1 species
GCCAGCAUGGUGUAGUGGUCUGAGUGUUGGACUAAGGCUCUGGAGACCAGGGUUCGAUUCCCUGCUUGGUCA